GAUGAACGCUGGCGGCGUGCCUAAUACAUGCAAGUCGAGCGAACAGACGAGGAGCUUGCUCCUCUGACGUUAGCGGAGGACGGGUGAGUAACACGUGGAUAAUCUACCUAUAAGACUGGGAUAACUUCGGGAAACCGGAGCUAAUACCGGAUAAUAUAUUGCACCGCAUGGUUCAAUAGUGAAAGACGGUUUUGCUGUCACUUCUCGAUGGAUCUGCGCCGCAUUAGCUAGUUGGUAAGGUAACGGCUUACCAAGGCGACGAUGCGUAUCCGACCUGAGAGGGUGAUCGGCCACACGGGAACUGAGACACGGUCCAGACUCCUACGGGAGGCAGCAGUAGGGAAUCUUCCGCAAUGGGCGAAAGCCUGACGGAGCAACGCCGCGUGAGUGAUGAAGGUCUUCGGAUCGUAAAACUCUGUUAUUAGGGAAGAACAAAUGUGUAAGUAACUAUGCACGUCUUGACGGUACCUAAUCAGAAAGCCACGGCUAACUACGUG
rnacentral:rRNA from 1 species